rnacentral:lncRNA from 1 species
GUAGGGCGGAUGGACUAAGAGACACUGGGAGGUGGAAUUGGAGACACGGAAAUCAGAGACACCGAGUGCUGGGAUAGAAGAGGGACUAGGUGACCUGGAGAGCAGUGGCCAAACAGGGAGGGGACUUACUGGGCUGAGCGGAUCAGAAUUCAAGCAAGGUUAGUGAGAACCUUGUCUUCAGGCUUUUGUCUAAGUGCCCCUCGCCAGAGCCUCAUGUGCUCACAGACGUGGCUUUUGAAAGGAGUUUGGGUCAGGGGGCUGCUGUAGCUAAACGUGUUGUUAGGAGGUGGGGCCAGGUGGGGCCUGGUCGGAAGAGGAGGAUCACUAGACCUUGCCUCUCUAACCCUAUCUAACCUUCCCUCCGAGCUACCCCUUCUCUCUCUGCUUCCCCUCCACGAAGCCCCUCUGCCCUGCUAUUUCUUUGGAGCCAGCAAACCAUGGACCGAAACACCUGCCAUUGGAGAAUCUGGAUCUUGACAUUCACAGUAUUCUGCAGUAUGCAAGACACAAGUUUCACCUUGGAUGGAGACUCAUUUAUCCUUCAUAUAAACUCUAUGGAGUACACCGUGAGAUUUGAUUAUGUAAUUUACCACAGCAAUACAUUUGUGAGUUCUUUAAAGUAGGAAAUUUUUGGUGAAUCCUGAGGACACAUCUUUUAAGAAUCAUAUUUUGGGGUCCUGAGUCACGCGGAAGACCCCAAAUCACCCCACUGCACACAGGCAGGUCUGCCCACACCCUGCCGAGGUCCCCAGUCACGCGG